rnacentral:rRNA from 1 species
CAUUACCGAGCUCAUGCCCUUACGGGUAGAUCUCCCACCCUGUGUUAUUAUUACCUUUGUUGCUUUGGCGGGCCGCCAGGCUCCGGUCAGGCUAUCGGCUUCGGCUGGUAAGCGCCCGCCAGAGGACCCUAUAUCCUGAUUAUUAGUGUCGUCUGAGUACUAUAUAAUAGUUAAAACUUUCAACAACGGAUCUCUUGGUUCUGGCAUCGAUGAAGAACGCAGCGAAAUGCGAUAAGUAAUGUGAAUUGCAGAAUUCAGUGAAUCAUCGAAUCUUUGAACGCACAUUGCGCCCCUUGGUAUUCCGAGGGGCAUGCCUGUUCGAGCGUCAUUACAACCCUCAAGCAUUGCUUGGUAUUGGGCUCCGCUGCUCACGUAGCGGGCCUUAAAAUCAGUGGCGGUGCCGUCGGGCCCUGAGCGUAGUACAUCUCCUCGCUACAGGGACCCGGUGGACGCUGGCCAUCAACCCCU